AGUCAUGGUUAAGUGGGAAACGAUGUGGGAAGGCCCAGACAGCCAGGAUGUUGGCUUAGAAGCAGCCAUCAUUUAAAGAAAGCGUAAUAGCUCACUGGUCGAGUCGGCCUGCGCGGAAGAUGUAACGGGGCUAAACCAUGCACCGAAGCUGCGGCAGCGACACUGUGUGUUGUUGGGUAGGGGAGCGUUCUGUAAGCCUGUGAAGGUGUGUCGUGAGGCAUGCUGGAGGUAUCAGAAGUGCGAAUGCUGACAUAAGUAACGAUAAAGCGGGUGAAAAGCCCGCUCGCCGGAAGACCAAGGGUUCCUGUCCAACGUUAAUCGGGGCAGGGUGAGUCGACCCCUAAGGCGAGGCCGAAAGGCGUAGUCGAUGGGAAACGGGUUAAUAUUCCCGUACUUGGUGUUACUGCGAAGGGGGGACGGAGAAGGCUAUGUUGGCCGGGCGACGGUUGUCCCGGUUUAAGCGUGUAGGUGUGUGUUCCAGGUAAAUCCGGUUCACUUUAACACUGAGGCGUGACGACGAGGCACUACGGUGCUGAAGCAACAAAUGCCCUGCUUCCAGGAAAAGCCUCUAAGCAUCAGGUAACAUCAAAUCGUACCCCAAACCGACACAGGUGGUCAGGUAGAGAAUACCAAGGCGCUUGAGAGAACUCGGGUGAAGGAACUAGGCAAAAUGGUGCCGUAACUUCGGGAGAAGGCACGCUGACACGUAGGUGAAGUGAUUUACUCAUGGAGCUGAAGUCAGUCGAAGAUACCAGCUGGCUGCAACUGUUUAUUAAAAACACAGCACUGUGCAAACACGAAAGUGGACGUAUACGGUGUGACGCCUGCCCGGUGCCGGAAGGUUAAUUGAUGGGGUCAGCGCAAGCGAAGCUCCUGAUCGAAGCCCCGGUAAACGGCGGCCGUAACUAUAACGGUCCUAAGGUAGCGAAAUUCCUUGUCGGGUAAGUUCCGACCUGCACGAAUGGCGUAAUGAUGGCCAGGCUGUCUCCACCCGAGACUCAGUGAAAUUGAACUCGCUGUGAAGAUGCAGUGUACCCGCGGCAAGACGGAAAGACCCCGUGAACCUUUACUAUAGCUUGACACUGAACAUUGAGCCUUGAUGUGUAGGAUAGGUGGGAGGCUUUGAAGUGUGGACGCCAGUCUGCAUGGAGCCGACCUUGAAAUACCACCCUUUAAUGUUUGAUGUUCUAACGUGGACCCGUUACCCGGGUUGCGGACAGUGUCUGGUGGGUAGUUUGACUGGGGCGGUCUCCUCCUAAAGAGUAACGGAGGAGCACGAAGGUUGGCUAAUCCUGGUC
rnacentral:rRNA from 1 species